rnacentral:rRNA from 1 species
CGGAGGAUCCGAGCGUUAUCCGGAUUAUUGGUUAAGGAGCGUAGGUGGACUGGUAAGUCAGUUGUGAAGUUUGCGGCUCAACCGUAAUUGCAGUUGAUACUGUCAGUCUUGAGUACAGUAGAGGUGGCGGAAUUCGUGGUGUAGCGGUGAAAUGCUUAGAUAUCACGAAGAACUCCGAUUGCGAAGGCAGCUCACUGGACUGCAACUGACACUGAUGCUCGAAAGUGUGGUAUCAAACAGGAUU